rnacentral:rRNA from 1 species
AACGGCUGGCGGCGUGCCUAAUACAUGCAAGUCGAACGGUCUUUUCUAUGGAAGCUUGCUUCCACUGAGAAGAUAGUGGCGAACGGGUGAGUAACACGUGGGUAACCUGCCCAUAAGAGGGGGAUAACAUCCGGAAACGGGUGCUAAUACCGCAUAGUUUUCUUGAUCGCAUGAUCGGGAAAGGAAAGACGGCCUUUGUGCUGUCGCUUAUGGAUGGACCCGCGGCGUAUUAGUUAGUUGGUGAGGUAACGGCUCACCAAGACGAUGAUACGUAGCCGACCUGAGAGGGUGAUCGGCCACAUUGGGACUGAGACACGGCCCAAACUCCUACGGGAGGCAGCAGUAGGGAAUCUUCCGCAAUGGACGAAAGUCUGACGGAGCAACGCCGCGUGAGUGAAAGAAGGUUUUCGGAUCGUAAAACUCUGUUGUCAGAGAAGAACAAGUUGGAGAGUAACUGCUCCAGCCUUGACGGUAUCUGACCAGAAAGCCACGGCUAACUACGUGCCAGCCGCCGC